rnacentral:tRNA from 1 species
GGCUCGGUAGCUCAGUUGGUAGAGCAAUGGAUUGAAGCUCCAUGUGUCGGCGGGUCGAUUCCGGCUCGCGCCA